rnacentral:rRNA from 1 species
AGCGUGCGCGAGGCGGUUUAUGUAAGACAGAUGUGAAAUCCCCGGGCUCAACCUGGGAACUGCAUUUGUGACUGCAGUGCUAGAGUACGGUAGAGGGGGAUGGAAUUCCGCGUGUAGCAGUGAAAUGCGUAGAUAUGCGGAGGAACACCGAUGGCGAAGGCAAUCCCCUGGACCUGUACUGACGCUCAUGCACGAAAGCGUGGGGAGCAAACAGGAUUAGAUACCCCUGU